AUUGAACGCUGGCGGCAGGCCUAACACAUGCAAGUCGAGCGGAGCGGCGGACGGGUGAGUAAUGCCUAGGAAUCUGCCUGGUAGAGGGGGAUAACGUCCGGCAACGGGCGCUAACACCGCAUACUCUCAGAUGAGCCCAUGUGGGAUUAGCUAGUUGGUGGGGUAAAGGCUUACCAAGGCGACGAUCCGUACCUGGUCUGAGAGGAGGAUCAGUCAACCUGGAACUGAGACACGGUCCAGACUCCUACGGGAGGCAGCAGUGGGGAAUAUUGGACAAUGGGCGAAAGCCUGAUCCAGCCAUGCCGCGUGUGUGAAGAAGGUCUUCGGGUUGUAAAGCACUUUAAGUUGGGAGGCGUUACCAACAGAAUAAGCACCGGCUAACUUCGUGCCAGCAGCCGCGGUAAUAC
rnacentral:rRNA from 1 species